CUACUGUUUGUGCAAUAUGGCUUCAGAUGACUUUUAUAUUAAUUUAUAGAGAUCUUUAAUUUGAAUAUCAGAUUUUUUUUUGUAUCUUUGUUGCGUGUAGAUAUUUCAGAUCUACAUCCAUUUGUGCAAUGCACCGUGAAUUUUGCAAACUUUACAGUAGAGAUUGAAGAUGGAGCAUGGGUAUGUGUGGGAUCAUGCAAAAAAGAUCCCAACUUCUGCAAUCAACAAGGUGAAUGCCAAAAUGAAAUAAAUGGACCACAGUGCAACUGUUACAGUUCUUACUUUGAGAAGUACUAUGGAGCUCAGUGUGAGCUUUACAGCAGAGGAGCCGGUUUCUACGCUGUUCUCUUCGGCUGUUUAGUAGCUUUCGCUCUACUUAUCAUCGUUUCAGCUGUGAUGAUUGUGGUGCUCUACAGAGCCAAGAGAACAUCAAGCAAAAAAAGGCUAUCAUUAUUUGACGACGCCUUCUUUGAUUUUACAUCAAGAGGAUCCAUAGACAGAGGUUAUGGGCAUCAAAACUUUUCAGCCAGAGAAGAUUCAGAAUCUGGGUCUUUCAGGUCAUCCCAUGAAAAUACACCUAUACAAUAAAGACCACAGCAACUGAAGUGGUGGGUGACCGAUGAACAGAGAUGACAGAUAUUAUUUUAAAAUAUUUUUAAAAGACGUCAGACACUAUAAUCACAGGAAGCCAAC
rnacentral:lncRNA from 1 species